rnacentral:rRNA from 1 species
AUUGAACGCUGGCGGCAGGCCUAACACAUGCAAGUCGAGCGGCAGCGGGAAAGUAGCUUGCUACUUUUGCCGGCGAGCGGCGGACGGGUGAGUAAUGCCUGGGAAAUUGCCCAGUCGAGGGGGAUAACAGUUGGAAACGACUGCUAAUACCGCAUACGCCCUACGGGGGAAAGCAGGGGACCUUCGGGCCUUGCGCGAUUGGAUAUGCCCAGGUGGGAUUAGCUAGUUGGUGAGGUAAUGGCUCACCAAGGCGACGAUCCCUAGCUGGUCUGAGAGGAUGAUCAGCCACACUGGAACUGAGACACGGUCCAGACUCCUACGGGAGGCAGCAGUGGGGAAUAUUGCACAAUGGGGGAAACCCUGAUGCAGCCAUGCCGCGUGUGUGAAGAAGGCCUUCGGGUUGUAAAGCACUUUCAGCGAGGAGGAAAGGUUGAUGCCCAAUACGCAUCAACUGUGACGUUACUCGCAGAAGAAGCACCGGCUAACUCCGUGCCAGCCGCCGCCGUAAUAC